UACGUAGGGGGCAAGCGUUGUCCGGAAUCACUGGGCGUAAAGCGCGCGCAGGCGGCCAUCUACGUCUGGGGUGAAAGCCCGGAGCUCAACUCCGGGACUGCCUUGGAUACGGGAUCGCUUGAGGAUUGGAGAGGCAAGGGGAAUUCCACGUGUAGCGGUGAAAUGCGUAGAGAUGUGGAGGAACACCUGUGGCGAAGGCGCCUUGCUGGCCAAUUACUGACGCUGAGGCGCGAAAGCGUGGGGAGCGAACAGG
rnacentral:rRNA from 1 species